rnacentral:rRNA from 1 species
GGCAUGCCUUACACAUGCAAGUCGAACGGUAACAGGUCUUCGGAUGCUGACGAGUGGCGAACGGGUGAGUAAUACAUCGGAACGUGCCCAGUAAUGGGGGAUAGCUCGGCGAAAGCCGGAUUAAUACCGCAUACGCCCUGAGGGGGACAGUGGGGGACCGCAAGGCCUCACGUUAUUGGAGCGGCCGAUGGCUGAUUAGCUAGUUGGUAGGGUAAAGGCCUACCAAGGCGACGAUCAGUAGCUGGUCUGAGAGGACGAUCAGCCACACUGGGACUGAGACACGGCCCAGACUCCUACGGGAGGCAGCAGUGGGGAAUUUUGGACAAUGGGGGAAACCCUGAUCCAGCAAUGCCGCGUGUGCGAAGAAGGCCUUCGGGUUGUAAAGCACUUUUGUCAGGGAAGAAAUCCUUUGGGCUAAUACCCUAGGGGGAUGACGGUACCUGAAGAAUAAGCACCGGCUAACUACGUGCCAGCAGCCGCGGUAAUACGUAGGGUGCAAGCGUUAAUCGGAAUUACUGGGCGUAAAGCGUGCGCAGGCGGUUGUGUAAGACAGGUGUGAAAUCCCCGGGCUUAACCUGGGAAUUGCAUUUGUGACUGCACGACUAGAGUGUGUCAGAG